AUCACUAAAUUUUAUCCAGAUUUAAAAAACCAAAAAUACAGCAUAAAAUGUCUAAGUUAAAUUCAAGAAAGACUUCAUUAAGGUCAGAAAUGAACACCUCAGAUUUUGUUCUGAGGGACUAGCUGAUGCCCAGCUGAGAGGAUGGGAGUUAGGGUGGGGAAAGACAUGCGCUUUGGAAUGAAGAAAAGUGGAAGUAAAGCAGGUGGCUGAGAGCCGAGAGAACUCAUGCAAUGAACUACAGGCCCCAGAAGAUUCAGGUCACAGUACAGGU